CCUACGGGGGGCAGCAGUGAGGAAUAUUGGUCAAUGGACGAAAGUCUGAACCAGCCAAGUAGCGUGAAGGAUGACUGCCCUAUGGGUUGUAAACUUCUUUUAUACAGGAAUAAAACGAACCACGUGUGCCUUUUUGCAUGUACUUUAUGAAUAAGGAUCGGCUAACUCCGUGCCAGCAGCCGCGGUAAUACGGAGGAUCCGAGCGUUAUCCGGAUUUAUUGGGUUUAAAGGGAGCGUAGAUGGGUUGUUAAGUCAGUUGUGAAAGUUUGCGGCUCAACCGGAAAAUUGCAAUUGAUACUGGUAGUCUUGAGUACAGUUGAGGUAGGCGGAAUUCGUGGUGUAGCGGUGAAAUGCUUAGAUAUCACGAAGAACACCGAUUGCGAAGGCAGCUUACUAAACUGUAACUGACAUUGAUGCUCGAAAGUGUGGGUAUCAAACAGGAUUAGAUACCCCUGUAGUC
rnacentral:rRNA from 1 species